UACGGAGGGUGCAAGCGUUGUCCGGAAUCACUGGGCGUAAAGGGCGCGUAGGCGGCUCAUGAAGGCUGUGGUGAAAGUCCGGGGCUCAACCUCGGAUCGGCCGUGGCGACUCGUGGGCUGGAGCACUGUAGAGGCGGGUGGAAUUCCGGGUGGAGUGGUGAAAUGCGUAGAGAUGCGGAGGAACACCAAAGGCGAAGGCAGUGUCCUGGGGAGUACCUGACGCUCAGGUGCGAAAGCCAGGGGAGCGAACGGG
rnacentral:rRNA from 1 species